rnacentral:sRNA from 14 species
AAUUCGAAUUCCCGCCCGACCUCCUCCCCGGGCAGGGAUUGGCGACACUCUCCCCUCCUCCUCCCAGGAGAGUGUCGCCCCUAGAUAGCGCCGGUCCCCUCUCCUCCUCCCUGGGAACGGCGUCAGGC